UUUUUAAACUUCAUCGGCCAUGGUCCAUUCACGUAGAUUUUCAGCUGAAAAGCCAUGUCAUCCUUACUUGGGCCAGAGUUCACUCUGAUUUCUUUCCUUUAUCUGCGUGUUUUUAGAUCCAGCCCAGCUUAACUCCUUCCCUAUGCGCCCCAAAAUAGGCAUAAGAUACAACAUCCGGUGGCCCGACCGCCCUUCACGAAUUGUCUCGCGUCCAAAGCUAGUGUUUUGAUUAACAAUUCAUGGCCAUUGAUCUGUCCGUCGACGUGUCCAUACGUACGGAGCAACCACAAGUGACAAGGUUGAGGUCCUUGAUACCACACACAAGGUACAUAUGUAAGGAUCCAUUUUUACCCAGUGGCAAAGAAUUUUUUCGGAAGACGCAUCAUAUAUAGAGCCAUAAUUAUUGAUAGCCUUACUCGAAACGACAAGAUCCUCCACCAAGAGGCCCGGGUACAUUAGUAUUAGGAUUGGUCCUGCUUUGAAGUUUUGGCCAUCCCAUCUCCAUGCAUUUGUGCCUGGACCAGCGACUGUUACAGCUUGAAAGCUAGACUCUUCAUCGGCAUGUAUAGAUAGACGUUUUGAUAAUGGUAGACUUAAUUUUUAAGGAACCAAUGGAUUUUCGAUUUUCAAGUCGGUCAUAUUUGGGAUCUAUAUGUUCUUUUGAAAUCAACAACCGUACCUUUGCCUUU